rnacentral:tRNA from 1 species
CGCUAAGAAGCUAAACAGGACAUAGCGUUAGCCUUUUAAGCUAAAGAUUGGUGACCCCCACCCACCCCUAGCGA